rnacentral:rRNA from 1 species
GAUGAACGCUGGCGGCGUGCCUAAUACAUGCAAGUCGAGCGAACAGACGAGGAGCUUGCUCCUCUGACGUUAGCGGCGGACGGGUGAGUAACACGUGGAUAACCUACCUAUAAGACUGGGAUAACUUCGGGAAACCGGAGCCAAUACCGGCUCAUAUAUUGAACCGCAUGGUUCAAUAGUGAAAGACGGUUUUGCUGUCACUUAUAGCUGGAUCCGCGCCGCAUUAGCUAGUUGGUAAGGUAACGGCUUACCAAGGCAACGAUGCGUAGCCGACCUGAGAGGGUGAUCAGCCACACUGGAACUGAGACACGGUCCAGACUCCUACGGGAGGCAGCAGUAGGGAAUCUUGCACAAUGGGCGAAAGCCUGACGGAGCAACGCCGCGUGAGUGAUGAAGGUCUUCGGAUCGUAAAACUCUGUUAUUAGGGAAGAACAAAUGUGUAAGUAACUAUGCACGUCUUGACGGUACCUAAUCAGAAAGCCACGGCUAACUACGUG